GAUAUUACGAUGGAAAGUCUUGUUUUAAAGGAUUUGCCCAACAAGGCGAUCUAUCCGCCCAUAGACGCAUACAUUCAGGAGAACGACCGCAUCAGUGUGGGAUUUGUUUCAAAGGGUUCAUCAAGAGCAGUGCAUUAACAUCACACAUGAAGCGGCACACGGAUAAAACAGUCUACGAUUCCAGCAAUACGAGUAUGACAAUCGUCAAAUAAAUUGAAAUGGAGUUUUGUUUGAAUCGUGUCUUUGCUACGGGAAAAUAAAUUAUUUUACACACC